UAUUACUUAUCUAUAUUUAUCUCUAAUAUUUUCUAAUUUGGAAAAAAUUUGAUUGUUGUGACUACAAACAUAAAUAAUCGUAUUAUAUAAACAUCCACGUGUGUUUACAAAAUCAUUAUAGAUUUAGUAAAAACUAAAAAUGCGUUGGUAAAAUUUUGCAUUUUUAAAAACAUGGAAUAAUUGAAAAAUGUUAUUCAAUUAAAUAAGUUGUAUUCAUUAUUAAAACAAAACUACUUUGCAUUUGUAGCAUAUCUAAUUAUAAAGGGACCUUGCUAUACCCUAUUUGUAAACGAGCGUGAAUGUACAUAACCUUAAUCAUACCCAUAUGGACAAACUAUAAAAAGGUACCCGCCAUGGACAACCGCCGUAUUCGCCAACUAAGGCAUCGUAAUUGUAGUUCAUGCCGUAGGUACUAGCACGAUUAUCACCUUUCCUACGAGAUGGAUUAUAAUAGCUGCUGCAAGUAUUAUGUUGCAUGCGGUCCCCUGUACGAGAAUUAAGAGAAUCCAAGGACAUGAAGUCUUGUUGAAGCUUCAUUCCCAUUACAUUCGAAGACGAGUCGUUUUUCAACGUUAAAAUAUCCAGGCCUUUCUCAGCUUCCCAAAUGUGUAACCACAAAUCCUUAGCAGGGCCGAACUGCUCCGGUUGAUACCAACCGAUAGUCGGAUCCAUUAAAUAGUUCUCGAUUCUGUAUCUUACGAUUAAUGGUCCUUGCACACUACACUACAAUUCCAAUCUUAAUUCAACUUUAAUUGAAAAAUUGUCUGAUUUAUUGUAACCUGCGAACACUAUGAAAUUCAUACAUACGACCAAUGAACAACAGUAUUUUAGAAGGAACUUCGUACACCAUUGUGCGAACAUAGAAUAAUAAAGACAACUCAAGCAAUUUGUUCCUGCAGAUGGCAUUAUCACCUACACAUCUGAAAAUAUAUUUCUGGAAAUAUGGUUAAAAAUUAUUUAUCGUACAAUUGUACAAUAUAAUUGUAUAUGUUAUUCAAACAAUUUCAAACAUUGGUACGCGAAGAAAAGAACAAAUAAUGUUUCACAGAAAGAAAAGAACAAAUGUUAUUUUAUGUCAAUUAGCCGUAUAACAUAUUAAUUUACAUAUUGGAAAUAUUUAAAAGUCUGUAGAAUUGAUAACAGUAACUAAUACUAAAACGACUUUUGGUUUUUUACUUGUUCCAAAUUUUGAAAAUGUGUUUAUAGAUAGAAAUCACUAGAUUCUAAAAUUUAAAAAAAUUUGAAACAUUUCUAAAUUGUAUUUGAAAAUGCUAAAUUAUUCCA
rnacentral:misc_RNA from 1 species